rnacentral:lncRNA from 1 species
GAUUUGUUUAAAGGGACAAAAAAGAUCAUUUAAGUGAUCACCAACAAGAAUAUGGGCAUAUUGGAUAUUUUUUAGUCAAUGACAGAACUUCAGUAGUAUAAAAUCUAAUGACCAAGCGAAAAACAAAUGCAUCUGGUACAGCUGAUGCAUUCAAAGUCUGUGCAAGCUGGAAUGACGGCCUCCAGGCAAAACUGUCAGUACUUGGAGUAUCCUCCCUGUUCAUCAGGAUUCAACCUCUGUGACAUAAAAUUUGAUGCCUUCCAUAGGUAAUUCUUCUGUCAAGGAGAAGUCACUGCAUCCCUGAUGUUAGGAAUCCAUUUGUUAGAUUGUGUCUUUCUUUGAAUACCACCAAGGCUGAAUGACCUCAUAAUUUCAUUACUCUUCAGCACAGCCCAAGUGCAAUUCAUAAACUGCAGGCAGAAAGAUUUCCUCCUCUUCUCACUCCAUAGCCUAGACUUUGGCAGCCCUAGACUACAGGGGCACAAGAACUGGCAUUUAACCAUGUAAUUCCAAU